UGGUGGGUAACAAUUAAUUUCUCUGGUUGUAAACCUCAUAACGGAGAACUAUCUACCUACUGCACCAAGCCACGCAUUACGGGAUAGACGUGUCCUAAACGUGUCUUUGUUUUGUUCUCUUCUUCUGAAGAGUCUCCUGUUGUGUGGAGAUGGAGAAUGCACACGCAAAAGAGUCGGAAGAGGUGUGUCAUACUUUGGUGUCGACCAGACACCGGCCUCACACCAGAACAGUUCAAGAAGAACCUGGCCAGAUAUGGUCACAAUGAGCUCCCAGCUGAGAUUGGUAAGACCAUCUGGGAGUUGGUCGUAGAGUCAGUUUGAGGAUCUGUUGGUCAGAACUCUG